rnacentral:lncRNA from 1 species
AUUAAUUAUAAAUUAAGUUAUUUUUGGAUAUUAAUGCUAUGUAAUUUGUAGAUUGAAAUAUUCAUUAGUAUAGAACUUGGGCUAUUUUAAUGUAUCUGCACUGAGUUGAAGACAUAUUUUACUUGAAUACUUGGGCACAAGAAAACAGACUGUCAUGUCAUCUACCAUUGUUACACUAGUGCAUCUUUCUCAGCUCACAACUGUGGUUUUGUGUUUCCUUCUAGACCUGCUGGCAGAAAAGGAGAAAUGCUGUACGAGGUUUAUGAAUAGGUCAGUUUGGUAUACAAACUGAAGCCCUAAGUGGACUGCUACUACUAUUGCAGGAACACAGCACACAAGAAAAGGUGUCUGUCUUUCCUGUGUAAUGGACAGGUUUUGAAUCGUGGGCCCAGAAGGAUUGUCUGAAUUAUAAGGAAUGUCCAUUUGUGCUUUAGCAACUUGAAGCUUCAGUGAAAAGAAUCAGAACACAGAGAAAACUUGCUGCUAGGACAAAAAUGAAGGAAAGAAUCAUCCCAGGAUGGUGAUACUCGGGUUACAGGCUCACAGGCAGAAGGGACUUGGCCUUUCUCAGAUGAGACUUUGGACUGUGGACUUCAGAGGUAAUGCUGAAAUGAGUUGACUUUGGGGGGACUGUUGGGAUGGCAUGAUUGGUUAUGAAAUGUGAUGACAUGAGAUUUUGGGAGGAGCCAGCUACCGCUCAUAAGGUUUCACUCUCUGUCCCCACUCAAAUCUCAUCUUGAAUUGUACUCCCAUAAUUCCCAUGUGCUAUG